CUUAUGCUGCGUUCCAGACACAGUUUUUAGCCCGUAAGUUAUGACUUCAAGUCACGACUUGGUAGCGUUCCGGGCAAAGUAACAAUAAACCCUUCUAGCUUGCUAAAACAUUGUGCC